ACAUUCACGAGAAGAUGCUUGGCAUCCAGACCCCACCAGACAGAGCAUACUGUGCAGAACUGAGGAGGAGCAUCCUGAAUGGAGGCAAGCCCACCCACUCUUCACAGGACUAAGGAGCCGUUCCCUGAGUAUCUGCUACGGACUAGUCUGCAUACCCGCUCCUCCCUGUCUCACGUGUUGCCUCAAUCUGCAGCAGGGAUUCAAUUUGGAUGAAUCAUGUUUCCUCAUUUGAAUUCAAGCUUGUUGAAGGCAGGACUCUACUGGCUGUAAAUCUGAGAUAUCUUCCUUAUGUCAACAUCUGUGACAGACGUUGGUGCACUUUACCACUGAACCCAAACUG